GCUAUGUAUUGGGCUUCCUGGACUAGAAGAGCAGUGAGCAGUCACAUCUCUGAAGUCCAGAUGUGUGGAAAAAAAAUAGAGUCAUCUGGAGAAGAAUUUAGCAGAUAAGAAACUACAACUCUGGGACAUUGGACAACCAUGGAAGUUGCUGUCUGGUGGAUAAAAGUCUUACUCAGUUUGUGAUACUGAUUUUUGUGGCCAUCUGGCACGUGGUAUUGUCCAGACCACCCAAGCCACAGCACAGACUAAACAAAGUUACUCUGAAAAUAAGAGUGUUGAAGGUACUCCACACAGCUGAUAGUUGGAGGAAAAUGGAUGAAAAGGCACCUUAUGAUCUGGGAAAGCUGGAAUGUAUACUGCAAAGAUACAUGAAGAGGUACCAUAUAUUUUCAGGAUGAAAACAUACUGUUGAUUUUGCUGAGGGUCUCCUUGAACUUUG
rnacentral:lncRNA from 1 species